CGCCCGAGCCGUCCCCAAGGGGCGCACCGGCUCCUCCACCAGGUUUCACAGCCUCCCUGGCCUUGGGGCCGCCUCCGAAGAAGCCCCGGCUUCCCGCCACUUGGGACCCCACGAGCAGGGCUGACCGGAGGGAGGCUGGGGGGAGGGGGAGCUUCAGCCUGCGAGAGAAACUGCCCGAAGCACACCGGAGGACAGGGGCCUCCUCCUUCCCGUCCUCUGUGUGCACACUCUCCCCUGAGCUGACAUGGAACACGAUUAGCCCCAACCAUGUGCCUCCGAGGGACUGGGACGGCAAACCCAAAACGCAGUAUCGCCAACCAGCAGGACAGGUAGCAACAGAAAGGGUGGACUUGCCUCACACAAAGGGGAAGAUCCUUAUUACCCGGCCUUCACGCUCAGCUGAGAGAUGCCUGGCUCCACGGAGGAGCAAGGAAGGAUUUCUGGAGGUCCUAGCAUCCGCGCCGAAGAAUGCAAAGAUAGCACAUGAUUCAACAAACCUACUAUAAAUACACAAACACAAAACUGAGAGUCUGAAUGGCCACCUGCCCUCGGCUCUCCCAGGCUUGUGUAGAUGUCUGUCCCAGCACUCAGACUCAGCUCUGAGCGAGAAAGAGGGAUUAUCAGAGUCAUUUCUGUUGCUUCCAGAACCUUUAAG